CCUUCAGGUCGGCAUCGAAUGAAUCUGUCGAUCCGACCUCGCUUGAUGAGCUCCUUGAUUUCAUCUCAGAGCUGAAUGCAUUCCUCCGUGUCAUGGCCGUGGUCAAGGUGAUAGAGGCAGAAUUUGUUUGGGUUGCGCUUCUUGGGGUGUGAGUGCAUCCUUUCUGACCUCGGCAGCUGCUCCCUGACCUCCAUCAGCACCUGGGCUUUUGGAGUAUUGAGAGGGGCGUAGCUAAGAAAUCU
rnacentral:lncRNA from 1 species